rnacentral:rRNA from 1 species
AUUGAACGCUGGCGGCAGGCCUAACACAUGCAAGUCGAGCGGAUGAGAAGAGCUUGCUCUUCGAUUCAGCGGCGGACGGGUGAGUAAUGCCUAGGAAUCUGCCUGGUAGUGGGGGACAACGUUUCGAAAGGAACGCUAAUACCGCAUACGUCCUACGGGAGAAAGCAGGGGACCUUCGGGCCUUGCGCUAUCAGAUGAGCCUAGGUCGGAUUAGCUAGUUGGUGAGGUAAGGGCUCACCACGGCGACGAUCCGUAACUGGUCUGAGAGGAUGAUCAGUCACACUGGAACUGAGACACGGUCCAGACUCCUACGGGAGGCAGCAGUGGGGAAUAUUGGACAAUGGGCGAAAGCCUGAUCCAGCCAUGCCGCGUGUGUGAAGAAGGUCUUCGGAUUGUAAAGCACUUUAAGUUGGGAGGAAGGGCAGUAAGUUAAUACCUUGCUGUUUGGACGUUACUCGCAGAAUAAGCACCGGCUAACUCUGUGCCAGCCGCCGCCGUAA